CAAUUCCAUUCCAUAUUGCUGAAGGAAAAGGUUCUGGGAAGAUAUGAGAGGGGAUGGUGGCCUCCACCAUGUCCCUAUUCACAGUUUGCUGCACUAGAGACUUUGGGGAAUUUCCUCUUGGAGUCAUCAAAGUCCAGAAGUAGGACAAAAGUCAAGGUGACUGGAGAUGGCCCAGGAUGCAGUGGAUGGCCCUAGAAUCUUUGAUACCUGUCCAAACUCUAAGCACUCCACAGCCCCUGUUUCAGCUUCCCUGUGGCUCCCUGCCUUGUCACGGUGAAGGGACUUGCAAGGCUUAAUGAAACUAUAAAGCGUUCCAACAAAAGGUGAUCCACUGGAGAAGGAAAUAGCAACCCUUUCUUUGCCAAGAAAACCUCAUUAUGUGGUACCAAAGUGAUAGAAGAGAUAAUGUUGAAAGAUGAGCCCCUCAGAUCAGAAGGUAUCGGUACUCUACUGGGGAAGAAUAGAGAAAAAUUACAAAUAACUCCAUUACUAAAAGAAGAGGCUGGAUUACGAAUUCAUCUGGUGACAAAACUAAAGUCCGAAGACAUAAAGAUCAAUAAUGCACAGGAACCUGAAAUGUAAGAUCUGUGAACCAAGGUCAGCUGGAUGUGGUCAAACAGGAUUGGGAAGAUAAGACAUUAACAUCAUGAGUGUCAGUGAACUUAAAUGGAUGGAAAUGGAUGAAUUUAAUUCAGGAGUUUAUUACAUAUACUAUUGUGGGCAAAAAUCUUUUAGAAGAAAUGGAGUAGACCUCAUAAUCAAUAAGAAGGUGAGAAAAAAAAGCAGUAUGGGGGAAUAAUCUCAAAAAUGAAAGAAUAAUACCAAGACAAACUAUUCAAUAUUA
ensembl:lncRNA